GGUUGUUGCUUUUCGUGGGUUCACUGCCUGUUUUGUUCGUGGGCUGCCCCUCCUGGUGCCCCUUUCCGCUUAUUUCUCUGUGUUGCGGAGCGCCUGGCGGCCUUAGGGAGCCGGUGCUGGCGGCGGCCGUUUCGGCCCUAUGCGUGCGCCCCGCGCUGCGUUUCCACCCAUGGAAAAGGCCGUGGCCCUCCGGGCUCCGCGGCUGUUCUGUGAUGAGUCUCACAGACCUGACCUGACGGCUGUGUGAAGACCCUCAAUAGCUCUGAGAAGAGCAGCCUGUCUGGCCUCAGUCCCUCGCAAUGAAGAGGCUGAUUUYAUCCAUGCUUAGCCAACUGCCGCACUUUCUUUGUGUUUCUAAUCGUCUUUUUUUCUACUAUUAUUUUCCAGGUUAUCGUGGUCCAUAUGAGAACCUUCACUAGAGGUGCGGAGCUGCUCAGCCAUGGCCACGCGCGGCUCCYUUGCAGGUGAGCACCGCAGCUCGCCUUGGGGACAGGGGAGCCCUUCGAGGGUGGCCUUAGGGUUCCCCCCUCCUUGGCUGGGACGUUGGGGCUGGAGCAAAGGGCACGCUGUCCGGGUUGGGGGGUUCUCC